rnacentral:rRNA from 1 species
CUACGGGGUGCACCAGUGAGGAAUAUUGCACAAUGGGGGGAACCCUGAUGCAGCAACGCCGCGUGGAGGAUGACGCAUUUCGGUGUGUAAACUCCUUUUAUAUGUCAAGAAAAUGAAGGUAGCAUAUGAAUAAGCACCCGCUAACUCCGUGCCAGCAGCCGCGGUAAUACGGAGGGUGCAAGCGUUAGUCGGAAUCACUGGGCGUAAAGGACGCGUAGGCGGGUUGGAAAGUCAGGUGUGAAAUCCUACAGCUUAACUGUAGAACUGCACUUGAAACUUCUAAUCUAGAGUAUGGGAGGGGGAGAUGGAAUUAGUGGUGUAGGGGUAAAAUCCGUAGAUAUCACUAGGAAUACCUAAAGCGAAGGCGAUCUCCUGGAACAUUACUGACGCUAAGGCGUGAAAGCGUGGGGAGCAAACAGGAUUAGAUACCCUAGUAGUC